GGAGAGAUGGCCGAGUGGUCGAAGGCGCUUGCCUGCUAAGCAAGUGUGGAGGUUUCUCCACCGAGGGUUCGAAUCCCUCUCUCUCCG
rnacentral:tRNA from 1 species